UUUAUUGGAGAGUUUGAUCCUGGCUCAGGAUGAACGCUGGCGGCGUGCCUAAUACAUGCAAGUCGAGCGAAUGGAUUAAGAGCUUGCUCUUAUGAAGUUAGCGGCGGACGGGUGAGUAACACGUGGGUAACCUGCCCAUAAGACUGGGAUAACUCCGGGAAACCGGGGCUAAUACCGGAUAACAUUUUGAACCGCAUGGUUCGAAAUUGAAAGGCGGCUUCGGCUGUCACUUAUGGAUGGACCCGCGUCGCAUUAGCUAGUUGG
rnacentral:rRNA from 1 species